GGAGGAAGUGCUUUCAGGCAUCUGAGCAAGAAGAAGACAGUUAGAAGAGAUUUUUUUACUCCAGCCUGUCCUUCCUCUGAAGGGAAUAUCUACAAUUCCACAGUCACAGUAAACAGACCUUCAAAUGCAAACAUUUUGGGUGAAGACUGGCAGGAGAAAAAUGAGUAACGGGUCGCUCACCACUUCCCAGCUACGGAAACAAAACCAUCAGCGGUUCCAAUCGGAUCAAACGCUUUGCUCUGCACUGAUGACAGAAGAAAACAACACAAGCCUGGCAGUUCCAAGCACUUUGAAAUCCAAGUGCUGACAUUACCAGUAACAAGUUCUGCCCUUACUCUGGAGAAAGCAGCCAACCAAAAUGAGUUUGAUGCUAAACCACAUGUAACACUACUGCUCUCCACAUACAGCAACACCACAACUACCAGUGUAACCAGCUGCUUCCCUAACACAGACACUGCCUUUAGAGAUAUUAUCAAAGUCAAACUUUUCUUAUAAAUAGCUGUUAUUUUGUCACAAGGGUAAGCUAGCUAUUUUCUUUUAGAAGAAAGUUCUGUUCUCAGAAAAAAAAAAAGAUUUUCCAUCUCUUACAGAAAAGGAUUUUUUUUUAUUAUGUUCACUUUCCCCUUUAAAUUUUUGCAUACCUUUGAUUGUGUUCUUUAGAGACUAUAAAAUUUCCUGCAUAAUCAAAAAACUAGCUUGACACAAUACUUUUUAAAAAGCU